UACAGAGGUCCCGAGCGUUGUUCGGAUUUAUUGGGCGUAAAGGGUGCGUAGGCAGCGGAGUAAGUUGGGUGUGAAAUCCCGGGGCUCAACCUCGGAAUUGCAUUCAAUACUGCUUCGCUCGAGUACUGGAGAGGAGGCUGGAAUUUACGGUGUAGCAGUGAAAUGCGUAGAUAUCGUAAGGAAGGCCGGUGGCGAAAGCGAGCCUCUGGACAGUUACUGACGCUGAUGCACGAAGGCCAGGGGAGCAAACGGG
rnacentral:rRNA from 1 species